GUGGGGAAUAUUGGACAAUGGGCGAAAGCCUGAUCCAGCCAUGCCGCGUGUGUGAAGAAGGUCUUCGGAUUGUAAAGCACUUUAAGUUGGGAGGAAGGGUAGUAACCUAAUACGUUGCUACUUUGACGUUACCGACAGAAUAAGCACCGGCUAACUUCGUGCCAGCAGCCGCGGUAAUACGAAGGGUGCAAGCGUUAAUCGGAAUUACUGGGCGUAAAGCGCGCGUAGGUGGUUCAGUAAGUUGGAAGUGAAAUCCCCGGGCUCAACCUGGGAACUGCUUUCAAAACUGCUGAGCUAGAGUACGGUAGAGGGUGGUGGAAUUUCCUGUGUAGCGUUGAAAUGCGUAGAUAUAGGAAGGAACACCAGUGGCGAAGGCGACCACCUGGACUGAUACUGACACUGAGGUGCGAAAGCGUGGUGAGCAAACAGGAUUAGAAACCCCAGUAGUCC
rnacentral:rRNA from 1 species